UACAGGGGGGGCAAGCGUUGUUCGGAAUUACUGGGCGUAAAGGGUCUGUAGGUGGCCAACUAAGUCAGACGUGAAAUCCCUCAGCUUAACUGGGGAACUGCGUCUGAUACUGGAUGGCUCGAGUGUGGGAGAGGAAUGCGGAAUUCCAGGUGUAGCGGUGAAAUGCGUAGAUAUCUGGAGGAACACCGGUGGCGAAGGCGGCAUUCUGGACCACAACUGACACUGAGAGACGAAAGCCAGGGGAGCAAAUGGG
rnacentral:rRNA from 1 species